rnacentral:rRNA from 1 species
CCUACGGGUGGCAGCAGUAGGGAAUAUUGCUCAAUGGGCGAAAGCCUGAACCAGCAACGCCGCGUGGAGGAUGAAGGUUUUCGGAUUGUAAACUCCUUUUGUGAGGGAAGAUAAUGACGGUAUCUCACGAAUAAGAACCGGCUAACUCCGUGCCAGCAGCCGCGGUAAUAUGGAGGGUGCGAGGGUUAACCGGAAUCACUGGGUGUAAAGGGUGCGCAGGCGGGCUUGUAAGUCAGAUGUGAAAUCCUGGGGCUCAACUACAGAACUGCCUUUGAAACACUGGGUCUAGAGUGCGGGAGAGGUAGGUGGAAUGCUUGGUGUAGGGGUGAAAUGCGUAGAUAUCAAGAAGAACACUGAUUGCGAAGGCGUCCUACUGAACGGUUACUGACGCUGAUGCACGAAAGCGUGGGGAGCAAACAGGAUUAGAUACCCUAGUAGUC